ACCCCCCCUCCCCUUCCCCCGCUUCUCUCUCUUCUAUUUCCGUGAAACCCUAGCGCCGCUUUGACUUUCCGUUGCCUCUCUUCGCCAAAAAUGGCAUGUUUACAGAGCAUGGCUGACAUAUACAACUAUUGCAUGGUUAUUGUGGUGAAAGCAUUAAUUGUUACACCUGAUUUCGUGUUCUUUCUACCCGAAUAUGUUGUUGAGGUUUGAAGCACAAAGCUCCCAAAUUCGUUCUUUUCUUGGCUGCGCACAUAAAAGGUAAAUUUUAAUUCAUUUUUAUUCUUGUUAUUUAGAGUUUUGCCUAGUCUAAGUGUAUUUAUAUUAGUUAAGUUGGCUUGUGGUUUGAUGCUUGUUAAUGUUGGUUCUUAUUGUUAAUGGUUGCCCUACUUGAUUGUGUGCUUAACUUAUGGAUCUACUUGAGGCAAACACAAUAGCACAAUAGAACUAGUGUGAAUGUUAUGUUGAAACUCAUGGUGAAGUAGGCUGUUUGGACUUCCUAUUGGUUCGUUUAUUCAUGUGAUUCUAAUGUUCCAUGCUUACUUUGAAGGGGUGUGUUUGGAGUACUUUGAAAAAAUCCACUUUUCUUUUCUUUCCCUCUUGAAGUCAUGUUAGUCUGUGAACCAUAAUCCUAAGUAGAACCAAUGUAGUAAAGUUCAACUUAUUUCCCUCUACUCAAAUCCUAGGUGUUGUUUAAACGAGAUAUGGCAGUUUGUGUGUUGAUUUAGAUGAAUAUGGAUAGCUUACUUGUAAUGUGUGCUUGUGUUUAUAGUUAGAAACCACAUAUUUUUUGCUAAUCAGUCAUGAACUACCCUCACUAGUGAAGUAAAGUCCCUUAUCAAAGUCAUCUUAUCUAUGAAUGCUUGAACUUAACAAAUUGGUUUAGGUACAACUCCUGGUGUGUUCUCUUCUUUUGAAAUAAAUAAAUACUUAGGUGUAAGUUAAAUCUGUUUGCUGAUCCUUUGAAGAUACAACAGUAGGUUAUUCCAUUUUUCCUUUUCCCUCCUUCUUAAAUGAUCUUACUCACAUGAAGUAGAGUAAAGCUAGGAUUAAUUAAUGGUUGGCUUGCUUAUCAAUUAAUAUUCAGAUAAAAAGGGAAUAAGGUUCAGUUUGAGUUUGUGGAUUAGUAGACUGUUAAUGGCAAUACCUAUGGUUAUGUUAUCAUCUAAUGUAAGCCAGAGUGUGCACUAAUUGUCUAUGAUUUGUAGCAAAUCCUAGAACUAAUGUGACUAAGUGCUUGAGUGUGAAAUCUGUUCUAUUCUUUGGUUUGAUCAAGGCUUUAGUUUUCUUGUUAGAACUUGCUGCUUAAACACAUAGAGUCCAUAACUUGUUUUGUGUAGUUCAUGUCACAAGUCUUACAUCUGAAAAUGGUCUACUCUUAAAAGUUCAGAGUUUGGUAAAAAGGAAAAAUGAAAAUAAAGGGUCAACUCUAGGAACUGUAAGACUAAGUCCUCAUUUGAAGUUUAAUUAGGAUUAAUCUAAUUAUCCUAACUAGUUAGUAAGAUGGUCAUUAACUUGUAAUUUGGUUAGUGAUCAUGUUGGAAUUGGAAGGUAUAAAAAUAGAAGGAAGUAGUUGUCCUGGGGGGGGGGGGGGGGGGGGGGAGUCUGUUCUGCUAUCUUUGAUCUCCUGUUGUUAGCCCUAUCCUCAUUAGUUAUUUUAUCUAACUAGUGAGGUAAACUUGUUAUGAAAGUGGACUGAUAUGCCAUACUCUUGCAUCUAUGUUGUAUUUCGUUCAUGUAUAGGUCUUCAUUUGGUAGAUGAUCCUAAGUGUUAAAACUUAACAAGUUUUAAGUAUUAAAAGAAGGGUGAAAUGAAGCAAUUUGGUUUUGAUUUGUCUAGUCUUGAACAGCUUGGAGACUGAGGCUUUUGUUUUGAGACAUGAAUUCUAUUUUGCUUUUUUGUGUGCAUAAGUGAAGGAUAUAGUGAUAAUAACUUAUGGUCCUUGACUGUCUAGGCUAAACAUGAAAACAAAUAGGAAAAAUCUUAUAAUUCUAGUCUAAGGAAAAGAAGAGGAUAAAAGGAUAGAAGAAGAGGGAAAUAUGUGGUUGAAACCUUAAAAAAAUAUUUGGCUUUGACCUGUGAACUGUUCAGUCAUUCUUUUGGUAUAUGCUAAAGGGUAAUAAAAGGAACCAUAAGUGUAGAUGUGGGGGUUGAAAACCACUUGGCUAAAUGGGAAAGUCUUUUAAAGGCAUCUUAGGAGAGGAUUGAGAAAGAGUCAAGCAUUACUUGACCCAUAGUAUCUUUCUUCCCAAUUAAGAGCUUGUCAUCGCAUUCUUCAUAAGCCUAUAGGGUGUAACCUCUUGCCUUUGCACAUUUGGUGUUUCGUUGCCAUUUUAUUAAGUUAAAAUGGAUCUUAAAAAAUGAGUUUCUUGUGCAUUUAUCAAUUGUUCACUCAGAUUAAUAAACCUGGUCUUGUUGUGUCUGUUUUGAUGUGUCUUAAGGGAAGUGGUUUGACUAGUUUAGAUGAUAUAUGAUAAUUUGAAAGAUUGCAUUAAAACUGGAAAGAGGAAAAGACUUUUCAAAAAAGGAAAGAAAAGUUCUAUGAAGAUAACAUGAUAAGAUAUAACAGAUUCUUUGAUAUUUGGUUAAGUUAAGCUCAUAACCAGGACCUUUAUGUGAAUUCUAUGUAUAUUGAUUUGAGUCCAACUUGUGUUUGAAAGAUGGCAUGUUCUCUACCUGUUUCCUAUGUCAUAAUAAUACCUUAAAAAUAAGGAAACCAGUGGUUUGCAUCCAUUUAAGGUGGCAGUACAGUCUGAGGGGUAUAUUUGACCCCUUCUUUGUGAUACUUUGGACAACAUGUCAUGUUCUCCAUUUUUGAGAUGUGUUUUGAGUCCAUUAGUCUAAAGCCCAAGUAGAAGAUAAAAACUGAACUUAGUCAUAAUGGAUAGAUGUGUUUUCUUCUUUAUGCAGCAUCAGAAAUCAGCUAAGGAUAUGAUAUACUUGUCCAGUUUUGAAAGAAUGAAAACCAGGAAUAGGCCAUUGUUUGUGAACAUGUCUAAGUUAUGUGCAUUCCUUUAAAAUCAACUUGGAUCUUUCUGCAAUAGAAUAGGGUAAGGAGAAAAGAUCUAAAAGAAUUUCAAACUCUGAACUUAAAAAAUGUAAAUCUUAUGUGCAUCCAUGGGACUUUUGGCCCUUCUACCUGCUUAAAUUGUGCGUGAAAAAUGUUGUUGUUGUAACUAAGGUUGUGUCCUCUACAUAGAACCAUUAAGACUUGAAAGUUCUUUGGAAUUUUCCACAGUUGAUCCUUGCUUGGAUUUUAUUUUUGCUUAUGUCUCAAACUGGAUUCUGCUGGGAGUAAUGCAACACCAUACUAGUAGAUGGUUGUUCAAUAAAAAGAGCUUUGAUUUCCACCUACUUGGAUUUGCCAUAUCAUACUUGUUAGGAUUAUAGUUUGGUUCCUUCUGUUUAUUCUCUAGGAGGAUCACCUAGACUUUAGAAUAUAAUUCCUAAAAAGUGACAAAAACCUUUACUUGAACUAUGCAUAAAAUGUCUAGGCUCAUUUGAGGAUUUGCUUAAAUAGUUUUACAUGUACUUUAUGAAUGCCAAAUCUGUUUGGUUGUGCGAUGUCAAGAAGCUGAUUUACCCUAUCCUUGUGUGUCUUUAUACUUUACCACAUCUCCUUGAUUCAAUACUAUUAAGAAUUGUGUUGCCCCUAUGUGAUUGUCAGUGUUGUGAUUACUUGGUUUAAGUUCAUUCUUAGCCAUACUUUGCCCGUGCGGAUUGCUUUCUUUUUCCAUGUUUAAGUCAUACUUGAUGUCUUGGCUUUGGUUCAUGAGAUUAAUUGGCCUGCUGAGUCUAUUGAUCUCUUCUCUCCUAGUUCUCAUCUGUUCUUGCUGACUUAUAAUUGUUCUAUAUACAUGUAUAUUGUGCCUAUCCUAUUUAUUCCAAGCCAUGUGUGUGUAUGUGGAUCUGUGUCCUCCAUGGUUAUUGUUGGUUGAGAGGCAGUUUAGGUGAAAGGAGGGUCUAGUUUAAGCCUUCCCUGGUGACCAGCCAUGUUGGAGGUUUGUGAAACCUCUUGGAACUUGUGCGGCAUCAAGAAUAAAAGGGGGGGGGGGUAAUGACUUGGCCUUCCCAUCAACCAGGUUUAGGGUUUGAGUUUAAAGACAUGGAAAGCACAUAUGCACAUUAUAUGGGCUUAUGAAUAAAUAGGAUAUAUUGCCUGUACAUGUGUAUAUUUAUGUAUAUAAUAGGACCAGUAAAUGAAUAGUGUGUUGUGUAUUAUGUGUGUGUAGUAUAUGUAUGACAGAAACAGUAAAAUUUAAACUAACUGGAGUCUUUUGUUUCUUUCCCCUCUCUACUGCAUGGCCACUUGGGCCAAGGUCCAGUCACCCUAUUGGAUCAGCCCAAUAGGGAAAAUUCUUUCAAGUUUCGUUGAGUUUAAAAGAAAGGAAUGGGAAGCUAAUAUAGUGAAGGCCCAGUCAUGGGUUAAAAUGGCAUGACCCAACCAUGGGUGAAAAUGGUUGGGGUUUGGUACACCCCAAUUUACUUUCCUUAUUAUAUUUAUGUCUUCUUUAUCUCACUUAAGUGCUUCUUGUAUUGUAUUUGUAUUUGUAAAAAAAAACCACAAACAUUAUUGGAAUCAUUUAUAUUGCGAA